AUUUGUCUGGUUAAUUCCGAUAACGAACGAGACCUUAACCUGCUAACUAGAUCUUAUUAUCUUAUAAUUUGCAUCUUCUUAGAGGGACUAUGUAAUCUAAAUACAUGGAAGUUUGAGGCAAUAACAGGUCAGUGAUGCCCUUAUAUGUCCUGGGCUGCACGCGUGCUACACUGAUGCAUACAACAAGUGCCUAGCCAGACAUGGUAUGGCAAUCUCGAAUAUGCAUCGUGAUGGGGAUAGAUCUUUGCAAUUAUAGAUCUUGAACGAGGAAUUCCUAGUAAGUGCAAGUCAUCAUCUUGCAUUGAUUAUGUCCCUGCCCUUUGUACACACCGCCCGUCGCUCCUACCGAUACCGGGUGAUCCGGUGAACCUUUUGGACUCAUUUGGGAAAGAUAAGUAAACCAUAUCACCUAGAGGAAGGAGAAGUCGUAACAAGGUUUCCGUAGGUGAACCUGCRGAAGGAUCA
rnacentral:rRNA from 1 species